UGAGUACGGUCAAGGUAGGCGGAAUGUGUAAUGUAGCGGUGAAAUGCUUAGAUAUUACACAGAACACCGAUUGCGAAGGCAGCUUACUGGGCCAUUACUGACGCUGAUGCACGAAAGCGUGGGGAGCGAACAGGAUUAGAUACCCUGGUAGUCCACGCCGUAAACGAUGAUCACUCGCUGUUGGCGAUACACAGUCAGCGGCUAAGCAAAAGCAUUAAGUGAUCCACCUGGGGAGUACGGCCGCAAGGCUGAAACUCAAAGGAAUUGACGGGGGCCCGCACAAGCGGAGGAACAUGUGGUUUAAUUCGAUGAUACGCGAGGAACCUUACCUGGGCUUAAAUGUAGAGUGCAUGAGGUAGAAAUACUUCUUUCCUUCGGGACUCUUUGCAAGGUGCUGCAUGGUUGUCGUCAGCUCGUGCCGUGAGGUGUCGGGUUAAGUCCCAUAACGAGCGCAACCCUUAUCGUUAGUUGCCAGCGGGUAAUGCCGGGAACUCUAACGAAACUGCCGGUGUAAACCGUGAGGAAGGUGGGGAUGACGUCAAAUCAGCACGGCCCUUAUGUCCAGGGCUACACACGUGUUACAAUGGCCGGUACAGAGGGCAGCUACCUGGAGACAGGAUGCGAAUCUCCAAAGCCGGUCUCAGUUCGGAUCGGAGUCUGCAACUCGACUCCGUGAAGCUGGAUUCGCUAGUAAUCGCGCAUCAGCCAUGGCGCGGUGAAUACGUUCCCGGGCCUUGUACACACCGCCCGUCAAGCCAUGGAAGUUGGGGGUACCUGAAGUCCGUAACCGUAAGGAGCGGCCUAGGGUAAAACUAGUGACUGGGGCUAAGUCGUAACAAGGUA
rnacentral:rRNA from 1 species